rnacentral:rRNA from 1 species
GACGAACGCUGGCGGCGUGCUUAACACAUGCAAGUCGAACGGUGAAGCGCCUUCCUUUUUGGUGGGUGUGGAUGAGUGGCGAACGGGUGAGUAACACGUGAGUAACCUGCCCCCUUCUUCUGGAUAACCGCAUGAAAGUGUGGCUAAUACGGGAUAUUCUGGGUCUGUCGCAUGAUGGGUCUGGGAAAGAUUUUGUUUCGGUGGGGGAUGGGCUCGCGGCCUAUCAGCUUGUUGGUGGGGUGAUGGCCUACCAAGGCGGUGACGGGUAGCCGGCCUGAGAGGGUGGACGGCCACGCUGGGGAUGAGACACGGAGAAGACUACGACAGGAGGCAGCAGUGAGGAAUAUUGCACGAUGGGCGGAAGCAUGAUGCAGCGACGCGGGGGGGGGGAUGGAGGCCUGCGGGUUGUGAACCUCUUUCGCCAGUGAAGCAGGGCUGCCUCGUUUGUGGGUGGGUUGACGGUAGCUGGAUAAGAAGCGCCGGCUAACUACGUG